rnacentral:rRNA from 1 species
AUUGAACGCUGGCGGCAGGCCUAACACAUGCAAGUCGAACGAGUGGCGGACGGGUGAGUAAUGUCUCGGAAACUGCCUGAUGGAGGGGGAUAACUACUGGAAACGGUAGCUAAUACCGCAUACCAUCAGAUCUGCCCAGAUGGGAUUAGCUAGUUGGUGGGGUAAAGGCUCACCAAGGCGACGAUCCCUAGCUGGUCUGAGAGGAUGACCAGCCACACUGGAACUGAGACACGGCCCAGACUCCUACGGGAGGCAGCAGUGGGGAAUAUUGGACAAUGGGCGAAAGCCUGAUGCAGCCAUGCCGCGUGUAUGAAGAAGGCCUUCGGGUUGUAAAGUACUUUCAGCGGGGAGGCGGUACCUGCAGAAGAAGCACCGGCUAACUCCGUGCCAGCAGCCGCGGUAAUUC